AGCAGCCGCGGUAAUUCCAGCUCCAAUAGCGUAUAUUAAAGUUGUUGCAGUUAAAAGCUCGUAGUUGAAUUUCGGGAUCAAUUUGUUGGUCGUGCCUCGGUACGUACUGGCAUUAUUGGUUUCUACCUUCUGAAGAACCUUGAUGUCAUUAAUUUGGUGUCUUGGGGAAUCAGGACUGUUACUUUGAAAAAUUAGAGUGUUUAAAGCAGGCAUACGCUUGAAUACAUUAGCAUGGAAUAAUGAAAUAGGACGUUUGAUUCUAUUUUGUUGGUUUCUAGGAUCGACGUAAUGAUUAAUAGGGAUAGUUGGGGGCAUUAGUAUUCAAUUGUCAGAGGUGAAAUUCUUGGAUUUAUUGAAGACUAACUACUGCGAAAGCAUUUGCCAAGGAUGUUUUCAUUAAUCAAGAACGAAAGUUAGGGGAUCGAAGACGAUCAGAUACCGUCGUAGUCU
rnacentral:rRNA from 1 species